UUGAACACUGGAUGACUGACAGCUGUCCUUCAUGACAACAGAAGACACAGAAAUCCUCCUCAUCAAAAACAUGACUUUGAUCUCCGUCCUCAUCUGGACUCUCCUCUGCUGCUGCUUCACAGAGUCCAGAGGCCAGGUCACAGUGACUCAGUCUGGAGCAGUGAGCUCUGCUCUGGGAGGCUCAGUCACCAUCACAUGUAGGACCACUCCUAAGGUUUAUACUUGGAGCAGCUACCACUAUUUAGCUUGGUACCAACAGAGAGAUGGAGAAACUCCUAAACUGCUCAUUUAUGCUGCUAGCACUCGAGCAUCAGGGAUUCCAGGUCGUUUUACAGGCAGUGGAUCAAACUCUGACUUCACUCUGACCAUCAGUGGAGUCCAGACUGAAGAUGCAGCAGUUUACUACUGUCAGAGUUAUCAUGAAAUCAACAGUCAGUAUGUGUUCACACAGUGAAAAA